GCGGAGUUGGCGGAAUUGGCAUACGCGCCAGUCUUAGAAACUGGAUCCUGAGAGUUCGAGUCUCUCACUCCGCACCA
rnacentral:tRNA from 1 species